CUACGGGUGGCAGCAGUGGGGAAUAUUGCACAAUGGGGGAAACCCUGAUGCAGCGACGCCGCGUGAGUGAAGAAGUAUUUCGGUAUGUAAAGCUCUAUCAGCAGGGAAGAGAAUGACGGUACCUGAGUAAGAAGCCCCGGCUAACUACGUGCCAGCAGCCGCGGUAAUACGUAGGGGGCAAGCGUUAUCCGGAUUUACUGGGUGUAAAGGGAGCGUAGACGGCGAAGAAAGGCUGAAGUGAAAGCCCGCGGCUCAACCGCGGAACUGCUUUGGAAACUUUUUUGCUGGAGUACCGGAGAGGUAAGCGGAAUGCCGAGUGUAGCGGUGAAAUGCGUAGAGAUUAGGAGGAACACCAGUGGCGAAGGCGGCUUACUGGACGGUAACUGACGUUGAGGCUCGAAAGCGUGGGGAGCAAACAGGAUUAGAUACCCCUGUAGUC
rnacentral:rRNA from 1 species